UACGUAGGGCGCAAGCGUUUGUCCGGAAUUAUUGGGCGUAAAGAGCUCGUAGGCGGCCAGUUGCGUCCGCUGUGAAAUCCCGGGGCUUAACCCCGGGCGUGCAGUGGAUACGGGCUGGCUAGAGGCAGGCAGGGGAGAACGGAAUUCCCGGUGUAGCGGUGAAAUGCGCAGAUAUCGGGAGGAACACCGGUGGCGAAGGCGGUUCUCUGGGCCGUUACUGACGCUGAGGAGCGAAAGCGUGGGGAGCGAACAGG
rnacentral:rRNA from 1 species